UUUCAAGUCCGAUGCUAAAGACUGGGGCUCAACCCCAGGGGUGCGUUGGAUACUGUGAGGCUAGGCGGUCGGAGGGGGUAGCGGAAUUUCCGGAGUAGCGGUGAAAUGCGCAGAUACCGGAAGGAACGCCAAUAGCGAAGGCAGCUACCUGGACGACUUGUGACGCUGAGGCGCGAAAGCGUGGGGAGCAAACCGGAUUAGAUACCCGGGUAGUCCACGCCCUAAACCAUGAGUGCUGGGUGUCCGGCUUCUGCUGGGUGCCGUAGCUAACGCGCUAAGCACUCCGCCUGGGAAGUACGCACGCAAGUGUGAAACUCAAAGGAAUUGACGGGGGCCCGCACAAGCGGUGGAGCAUGUGGUUUAAUUCGAAGCGACGCGAAGAACCUUACCAGGCCUUGACAUGCCCGGAACCCCUCUGAAAGGAGGGGGUGCCCGCAAGGGAGCCGGGACACAGGUGCUGCAUGGCCGUCGUCAGCUCGUGUCGUGAGAUGUUGGGUUAAGUCCCGCAACGAGCGCAACCCCUAUCCCUAGUUGCCAGCAGUUCGGCUGGGCACUCUAUGGAGACUGCCUGCGAAAGCAGGAGGAAGGCGGGGAUGACGUCUGGUCCGCAUGGCCCUUACGGCCUGGGCGACACACGUGCUACAAUGCCAAGGACAGAGCGCUGCUACCUCGCGAGAGGACGCCAAUCGCAAAAACCUUGGCUCAGUUCGGAUUGGAGUCUGCAACUCGACUCCAUGAAG
rnacentral:rRNA from 1 species